rnacentral:tRNA from 1 species
GAGAGUAUAGCUCAGUGGUAGAGUGCAUGCCUAGCAUGCACAAGGUCAUGGGUUUGAUUCCCAGUACCUCCA